rnacentral:misc_RNA from 1 species
GUAAACCCUCGAGCCCAGGCUCGCUGUUGGGCGACGCCCGCGGGGGCGCGCCCCGAACCACUAGGCGGCCGCCGUCCGACCCCGGAACGCACCGAGCCUCACGGCCACGCGUACGCCGGCAGGAUGGGGUGCCCGCCAGCCCGCCACGGAACAGA